CAGCCGCCACGGUAAUACGGAGGGGGCUAGCGUUGUUCGGAAUUACUGGGCGUAAAGCGCACGUAGGCGGCUUGGUAAGUUAGAGGUGAAAGCCCGGAGCUCAACUCCGGAAUUGCCUUUAAGACUGCCGAGCUAGCAGGUGAGAGAGGUAAGUGGAAUUCCGAGUGUAGAGGUGAAAUUCGUAGAUAUUCGGAAGAACACCAGUGGCGAAGGCGGCUUACUGGCUCAUACUGGACGCUGAGGUGCGAAAGCGUGGGGAGCAAACAGGAUUAGAUACCCCUGUAGUCCCUGUCUCUUAUAC
rnacentral:rRNA from 1 species